rnacentral:rRNA from 1 species
CGCGGCCUAUCAGCUUGUUGGUGGGGUAAUGGCCUACCAAGGCUUUGACGGGUAGCCGGCCUGAGAGGGUGACCGGCCACACUGGGACUGAGACACGGCCCAGACUCCUACGGGAGGCAGCAGUGGGGAAUAUUGGACAAUGGGCGGAAGCCUGAUCCAGCAACGCCGCGUGGGGGAUGAAGGCCUUCGGGUUGUAAACCUCUUUCAGUACCGACGAAGCUUUUUGUGACGGUAGGUACAGAAGAAGCACCGGCCAACUACGUGCCAGCAGCCGCGGUAAUACGUAGGGCGCAAGCGUUGUCCGGAAUUAUUGGGCGUAAAGAGCUCGUAGGUGGUUCGUCGCGUCUGCUGUGAAAGUCCGAGGCUUAACCUCGGAUCUGCAGUGGGUACGGGUGGACUAGAGUGCGGUAGAGGAGAUCGGAAUUCCUGGUGUAGCGGUGAAAUGCGCAGAUAUCAGGAGGAACACCGGUGGCGAAGGCGGUUCUCUGGGCAUGUCCUGACGCUGAGGAGCGAAAGUGUGGGGAGCGAACAGGAUUAGAUACCCUGGUAGUCCACACCGUAAACGUUGGGCGCUAGGUGUGGGGUCCUUUCCAUGGAUUCCGUGCCGUAGCUAACGCAUUAAGCGCCCCGCCUGGGGAGUACGG